AGAAAGUGUACCUAGGGUUCCACACCCGGUUUUCAGGGUGGCUCGGUCCGAGCGGUACAGGCCCGGAAAAUGCAGUUUUCCGGGUUACACCGGCAGGGAGAAAAGCCCAGGCGGU
rnacentral:sRNA from 2 species